CUCGUAGGUGGCCAACUAAGUCAGACGUGAAAUCCCUCGGCUUAACCGGGGGACUGCGUCUGAUACUGGAUGGCUUGAGUUUGGGAGAGGGACGCGGAAUUCCAGGUGUAGCGGUGAAAUGCGUAGAUAUCUGGAGGAACACCGGUGGCGAAGGCGGCGUCCUGGACCAACACUGACACUGAUGAGCGAAAGCCAGGGGAGCAAACG
rnacentral:rRNA from 1 species